GAUCAUGGCUCAGGAUGAACGCUGGCGGCGUGCCUAACACAUGCAAGUCGAACGGAGCUUACUUGAAGGAGACUUCGGUCAACGGAAGGGUAAGCUUAGUGGCGGACGGGUGAGUAACGCGUGGAGAACCUGCCCUGUACAGGGGGAUAACAGUGAGAAAUCACUGCUAAUACCGCAUAAGCGCACAGUACCGCAUGGUACAGUGUGAAAAAACUCCGGUGGUACAGGAUGGCUCCGCGUUGGAUUAGCCAGUUGGCGGGGUAACGGCCCACCAAAGCGACGAUCCAUAGCCGGCCUGAGAGGGUGAACGGCCACAUUGGGACUGAGACACGGCCCAGACUCCUACGGGAGGCAGCAGUGGGGAAUAUUGCACAAUGGGGGAAACCCUGAUGCAGCCGACGCCGCGUGAAGGAAGAAGUAUCUCGGUAUGUAAACUUCUAUCAGCAGGGAAGAUGAUGACGGUACCUGACUAAGAAGCCCCGGCUAACUACGUGCCAGCCGCAGC
rnacentral:rRNA from 1 species